rnacentral:rRNA from 1 species
CUAAGGCCGAUGGCGACCGGCGCACGGGUGAGUAACACGUAUCCAACCUGCCCUUUACUCGGGGAUAGCCUUUCGAAAGAAAGAUUAAUACCCGAUAGCAUAAUGAUUCCGCAUGGUUUCAUUAUUAAAGGAUUCCGGUAAAGGAUGGGGAUGCGUUCCAUUAGGUUGUUGGUGAGGUAACGGCUCACCAAGCCUUCGAUGGAUAGGGGUUCUGAGAGGAAGGUCCCCCACAUUGGAACUGAGACACGGUCCAA